GUGCUGUCUUUGGCAGCACAUAAAACUGAACUGGAACAAUAAAGGAUUUUCAUAUCCCUGCACAAAGAUGACAAGAAAAUGUGUGAAACAUUCUAUAUUUAU